CCUUCUUUUCCAACAGAUAACAGCAUUGGACAACAGAACUGAAACACACAGCCUCAUUUCCCCAAGACUGUCAAGUUCCGAAGCCUCUGCUACUGUGAAAGGCGGUAGUAGCAGAAAUGGCCUCCCCACCUUCCUGAGCUGAUUUGUGGACACACAACUGAGCCUCGGUCUCAUGGGCCACGAGUCAAAUUCAAGCCGUAAUCCUCACUGAACUUUCACCUUGCCAUGUCUAAAACUGAACUCAGGAAGUGUGGUGCAGUGUCCUGGAGAGACCACUGGA